rnacentral:rRNA from 1 species
GGGCCCGCACAAGCGGAGGAACAUGUGGUUUAAUUCGAUGAUACGCGAGGAACCUUACCUGGGCUUAAAUGUAGAACGACGUUUCGAGAAAUCGAAAUUCCCUUCGGGGCGUUUUACAAGGUGCUGCAUGGUUGUCGUCAGCUCGUGCCGUGAGGUGUCGGGUUAAGUCCCAUAACGAGCGCAACCCUUAUCGUUAGUUGCCAGCGGGUAAUGCCGGGGACUCUAGCGAAACUGCCGGUGUAAACCGAGAGGAAGGUGGGGAUGACGUCAAAUCAGCACGGCCCUUAUGUCCAGGGCUACACACGUGUUACAAUGGCCGGUACAGAGGGCAGCUACUGGGUGACCAGAUGCAAAUCUCGAAAGCCGGUCCUAGUUCGGAUCGAAGUCUGCAACUCGACUUCGUGAAGCUGGAUUCGCUAGUAAUCGCGUAUCAGCAACGACGCGGUGAAUACGUUCCCGGGCCUU